rnacentral:lncRNA from 1 species
AGCAGGGAUGACCCCACCGCCUGUUGUUGGUUCGCUUGCCACGUACAUAGCUUGCAUGACUGAAAUUACACGUGGCGUUUCAAUCAAGCCAACACUUCCUCUUACACAGACAAAACGUUCCUACUAAACGACAUCGAAUUAGCCCAUACAUCUACAGUACAUCACCUUUUUACAACGGUUUGUAACUCUUAUGAUUGUUAGUAAUCCAACAAUAAGUUAUAAUCGUCAGUAAUAUAAUUAUUAUAUGAGUAAUUAAUUAUUUUUUAAUAAAUAUAUGUCUUUUUAUCAUGCAUUUCAGAUGAACGGGAAAGUAAACUGGGCAGCUUUAUUUUU